rnacentral:rRNA from 1 species
UGGGGAAUUUUGGACAAUGGGCGAAAGCCUGAUCCAGCAAUGCCGCGUGUGUGAAGAAGGCCUUCGGGUUGUAAAGCACUUUUGUCCGGAAAGAAAUCCUUGGCUCUAAUACAGUCGGGGGGAUGACGGUACCGGAAGAAUAAGCACCGGCUAACUACGUGCCAGCAGCCGCGGUAAUACGUAGGGUGCAAGCGUUAAUCGGAAUUACUGGGCGUAAAGCGUGCGCAGGCGGUUUGCUAAGACCGAUGUGAAAUCCCCGGGCUCAACCUGGGAACUGCAUUGGUGACUGGCAGGCUAGAGUAUGGCAGAGGGGGUAGAAUUCCACGUGUAGCAGUGAAAUGCGUAGAGAUGUGGAGGAAUACCGAUGGCGAAGGCAGCCCCCUGGGCCAAUACUGACGCUCAUGCACGAAAGCGUGGGGAGCAAACAGGAUUAGAUACCCUGGUAGUCCACGCCCUAAACGAUGUCAACUAGUUGUUGGGGAUUCAUUUCCUUAGUAACGUAGCUAACGCGUGAAGUUGACCGCCUGGGGAGUACGGUCGCAAGAUUAAAACUC